AGCCCCGGCUAACUACGUGCCAGCAGCCGCGGUAAUACGUAGGGGGCAAGCGUUGUCCGGAAUAAUUGGGCGUAAAGGGCGCGUAGGCGGCUCGGUAAGUCUGGAGUGAAAGUCCUGCUUUUAAGGUGGGAAUUGCUUUGGAUACUGUCGGGCUUGAGUGCAGGAGAGGUUAGUGGAAUUCCCAGUGUAGCGGUGAAAUGCGUAGAGAUUGGGAGGAACACCAGUGGCGAAGGCGACUAACUGGACUGUAACUGACGCUGAGGCGCGAAAGUGUGGGGAGCAAACAGGAUUAGAUACCCUGGUAGUCCACACUGUAAACGAUGAAUGCUAGGUGUAGGGGGUAUCGACCCCUUCUGUGCCGCAGUCAACACAAUAAGCAUUCCGCCUGGGGAGUACGGCCGCAAGGUUGAAACUCAAAGGAAUUGACGGGGGCCCGCACAAGCAGUGGAGUAUGUGGUUUAAUUCGACGCAACGCGAAGAACCUUACCAAGUCUUGACAUCCUGCGACGGUACUGGAAACAGUACUUUCCUUCGGGACGCAGAGACAGGUGGUGCAUGGUUGUCGUCAGCUCGUGUCGUGAGAUGUUGGGUUAAGUCCCGCAACGAGCGCAACCCUUAUCUUCAGUUACUAACGCGUAGAGGUGAGGACUCUGAAGAGACUGCCGGGGACAACUCGGAGGAAGGUGGGGACGACGUCAAAUCAUCAUGCCCCUUAUGACCUGGGCUACACACGUGCUACAAUGGCCACGACAGAGAGAAGCGAAAUCGUAAGGUGGAGCGGAACUCAAAAAAGUGGUCCCAGUUCGGAUUGUGGGCUGCAACCCGCCCACAUGAAGUCGGAGUUGCUAGUAAUCGCGGAUCAGCAUGCCGCGGUGAAUACGUUCCCGGGCCUUGUACACACCGCCCGUCACACCAUGGGAGUUGGGAGUGCCCAAAGCCGGUGAGGCAACCGCAAGGAGCCAGCCGUCUAAGGCAAGACCAAUGACUGGGGUGAAGUCGUAACAAGGUAGCCGUAUCGGAAGGUGCGGCUG
rnacentral:rRNA from 1 species